rnacentral:siRNA from 1 species
UGGAGAAGUAAUACAGAGGCGA